rnacentral:rRNA from 1 species
GUAGGGAAUCUUGCGCAAUGGGCGAAAGCCUGACGCAGCCAUGCCGCGUGGAUGAUGAAGGUCUUAGGAUUGUAAAAUCCUUUCACCGGUGAAGAUAAUGACUGUAGCCGGAGAAGAAGCCCCGGCUAACUUCGUGCCAGCAGCCGCGGUAAUACGAAGGGGGCUAGCGUUGCUCGGAUUUACUGGGCGUAAAGGGCGCGUAGGCGGACAUUUAAGUCAGGGGUGAAAUCCCGGGGCUCAACCUCGGAACUGCCUUUGAUACUGGGUGUCUUGAGUAUGAGAGAGGUGUGUGGAACUCCGAGUGUAGAGGUGAAAUUCGUAGAUAUUCGGAAGAACACCAGUGGCGAAGGCGACACACUGGCUCAUUACUGACGCUGAGGCGCGAAAGCGUGGGGAGCAAACAGGAUUAGAAACCCCGGUAGUCC